GAAAUGCGAUAAGUAGUGUGAAUUGCAGAAUUCAGUGAAUCAUCGAAUCUUUGAACGCACAUUGCGCCUUCCGGUAUUCCGGGAGGCAUGCCUGUCCGAACGUCAUCAAGCCCCUCGCCUGCACCCUUUGCCAGCCAAAGGAAGCAUGGGCGGUACUUGGCCGAUGGUUGCCCCAGGGCGACCACGACCGAAAUCCAUCGGCAGAUCCAACUUGGCUGUGAUUGUGAUAAGAUUUUACUUACAACCGCGUGCCUGGUAGGCUUCUUGCCACAAGCGUCUGGCUGCUCCUCCACGGGAACGCCCAGCAGAACCCAAUCUUUUGACUUCGGAUCAGGUAGGGAUACCCGCUGAACUUAA
rnacentral:misc_RNA from 1 species